CCCCCUGUGAAAAUGCCCCACAGCCCUCUGAAUGAGGACAAGGAGCUGGUAUCAGGCCCAAAUUAGUUAGCCCACGACGCCUUGCUCAGCCACACCCCCAAGGGAACUCAGCAGUGACAGACAUUAAGCCAUGAGUGAAAACUUGACUUAGUUAAAGCUAAGAGGACCGGUAAAACUCGUGCCAGCCACCGCGGUUAUACGAGAGGUUCAAGUUGACAAAAUCCGGCGUAAAGCGUGGUUAUGAAUACACCCUACUAAAGCCAAAUGCCCACAAAGCUGUUAUACGCACUCGAGGGCCAGAAACCCACCAACGAAAGUGGCUUUAUUCACCUGAACCCACGAAAGCUAUGAAACAAACUGGGAUUAGAUACCCCACUAUGCGUAGCCAUAAACAUUGAUAACACCCCACAAUAGUUAUCCGCCAGGGGACUACGAGCAUCAGCUUAAAACCCAAAGGACUUGGCGGUACUUCAGACCCACCUAGAGGAGCCUGUUCUAUAACCGAUAAUCCCCGUUCAACCUCACCUCUUCUUGUCCAAACCGCCUAUAUACCGCCGUCAUCAGCUUACCCUGUGAAGGACCAAUAGUAAGCUUAAUUGGCACAACCCAAAAUGCCAGGUCGAGGUGUAGCGUAUGGAGAGGGAAGAAAUGGGCUACAUUUAGUGCACCCCACUUACACACGGAAGAUAAGUUGAAACACUAUUCCGAAGGAGGAUUUAGCAGUAAGUCGGAAAUAGAGCGUCCCACUGAAGCAGGCUCUGAAGCGCGUACACACCGCCCGUCACUCUCCCCGAAAAAACCAUUAAAUACCUUAAUACCCCUUCAACCAACAAGGGGAGGCAAGUCGUAACAUGGUAAGUGUACCGGAAGGUGCACUUGGAAAAACU
rnacentral:ncRNA from 1 species